AGUAAAGUCAGCUAAAAAAGCUUUCGGGUCCAUACCCCGAACACGAUGGUUAAAAUCCAUCCUUUAUUA
rnacentral:tRNA from 2 species